AGAAUCAACGCUGGCGGCGUGCCUAACACAUGCAAGUCGAACGAGAAAGUGGAGCAAUCCACAAGUAAAGUGGCGCACGGGUGAGUAACACGUGACUAACCUACCCUUGAGUGGGGGAUAACCUAGAGAAAUCUGGGCUAAUACCGCAUAAUACCUUCGGGUCAAAGGAGCAAUUCGCUUAAGGAGGGGGUCGCGGCCGAUUAGUUAGUUGGCGGGGUAAUGGCCCACCAAGACUAUGAUCGGUAUCCGGCCUGAGAGGGCGCACGGACACACUGGAACUGAAACACGGUCCAGACUCCUACGGGAGGCAGCAGUGGGGAAUUUGCGCAAUGGGGGAAACCCUGACGCAGCAACGCCGCGUGGAGAUGAAGUCCCUUGGGACGUAACUCCUUUCGAUCGGGACGAUAAUGACGGUACCGAGAGAAGAAGCCCCGGCUAACGUUCGCGCCAGCAGCCGC
rnacentral:rRNA from 1 species